UGAGGAAUAUUGGGCAAUGCCCGAAAGGGUGACCCAGCAACGCCGCGUGGAGGAUGAAGGUCGUAAGAUUGUAAACUCCUGUUAGAGGGGAAGAAUAGUACCGGUUGGACCGGUAUAUGACUGUACCCUCAGAGAAAGCCCCGGCUAACUACGUGCCAGCAGCCGCGGUAAUACGUAGGGGGCAAGCGUUGUCCGGAUUUACUGGGUGUAAAGGGCGCGCAGGCGGGAUAAAAAGUCAGUGGUGAAAUCCUACAGCUUAACUGUAGAACUGCCUUUGAUACUUUUAUUCUUGAGUUCGGGAGAGAGAGACGGAAUUCCAGGUGUAGUGGUGAAAUACGUAGAUAUCUGGAAGAACACCAGUUGCGAAGGCGGUCUCUUGGUCCGACACUGACGCUGAGGCGCGAAAGCGUGGGGAGCAAACA
rnacentral:rRNA from 1 species